rnacentral:rRNA from 1 species
AGAGUUUGAUCCUGGCUCAGGACGAACGCUGGCGGCGGGCUUAACACAUGCAAGUCGAGCGAGAAAGUUUCCUUCGGGGAGCGAGUAAAGCGGCGGACGGGUGAGUAACACGUGGGUAAGCUACCUUUUAGUCGGGAAUAAUUUCGGGAAACCGGAGCUAAUACCUGAUGUGUAUAUUUUUACGCAAGUAGUUUUAUAUAAAGAUGGGGAUCCUUCGGGACCUAUCGCUAAGAGAUGCACCCGCGGUCCAUUAGCUUGUUGGUGAGGUAACGGCUCACCAAGGCAGUGAUGGAUAGCUGGUUUGAGAGGAUGACCAGCCACACUGGGACUGAGAUACGGCCCAGACUCCUAUGGGAGGCAGCAGUGAGGAAUAUUGCGCAAUGGACGAAAGUCUGACGCAGCCACGCCGCGUGAGUGAUGACAGUUCUAUGAAUUGUAAAACUCUUUCAGUAGGGAAGAAAGUACAAAAGACUAAUACUUUUUUGUAUUGACGGUACCUACAGAAGAAGCCCUGGCUAAAUAUGUGCCAGCAGCCGCGGCAAUACAUAUAGGGCGAGCGUUGUCCGGAAUUACUGGGCGUAAAGGGCGCGUAGGCGGGCAAUUAAGUCAGCUGUGAAAGCCUGAAGCUUAACUUCAGAAUUGCAGUUGAAACUGGUUGUCUUGAGUACAGAAGA